GGGUGUGUAGCUCAGGUGGUAGAGCACUUGACUUUUAAUCAAGUUGUCCGGGGUUCGAAUCCCCGCACGCUCACUA
rnacentral:tRNA from 17 species